AUUGAACGCUGGCGGCAGGCUUAACACAUGCAAGUCGAGCGGGGGAAGGUAGCUUGCUACCGGACCUAGCGGCGGACGGGUGUGUAAUGCUUAGGAAUCUGCCUAUUAGUGGGGGACAACAUCUCGAAAGGGAUGCUAAUACUGCAUACGUACUACGGGAGAAAGCAGGGGCUCACUUGUGACCUUGCGCUAAUAGAUGAGCCUACGGAGGAUGAGCGAGUAGGUGGGGUAAAGGCAUACCAAGGCGACGAUCUGUAGCGGGUCUGAGAGGAUGAUCCGCCACACUGGGACUGAGACACGGCCCAGACUCCUACGGGAGGCAGCAGUGGGGAAUAUUGGAGAAUGGGGGGAACCCUGAUCCAGCCAUGCCGCGUGUGUGAAGAAGGCCUUAUGGUUGUAAAGCACUUUAAGCGAGGAGGAGGCUCUUUUGGUUAAUACCCAAGAUGAGUGGACGUUACUCGCAGAAUAAGCACCGGCUAACUCUGUGCCAGCAGCCGCCGUAACAC
rnacentral:rRNA from 1 species